CUUGAUCCAAUUGAGAAACAAAGACAAGCAAAGGGUACCCAUCGUCAUCCUAUAUCAUUAGGUUCCAGUGGAGUGCCCUUCGCCAGAUGACAAAACUACCCACAUUUUUAUUAACUUCCAAAGUCGAAAUAUGUCUUUUUUCAUUAAAAUAUGAUGAUGGAUGGGUGGCACAGGCCGGGCCACCCCUAACCCUAGCCCAGCUCUAGUCCUCAUCAAGCCGGCCCAAAAAAAGUGCUAGCCCAAGCCCAAGCCUGGCCUUAACCCCAUUAGGGCCGGGCCGAGCCACAUAAACAAGAGAAAGAUCAAAGAGAAAAAAGGGCCAGGCCGGACCAGAUUGGCAUGGCCCAAGCCCCAGCCAAGUCCUACCUCGGGCCAUGGUUGCCGGGGCACAUUUUAUCGCCAAGCUGAAGUUUUUUAGGGCCGGAUGGAGUCACCUAGCCCAUUUCCACCGUGAGAAAUUUUGUGAUUUGGCUAGCAACCAUGGCUUCCUCUUUUAAUUUAGUUACAAACAAUUACCACCAUUUCCACCAUUUUGACCAACUCCAUUGAAGAAUGGCACCAUGAUCCUUACCCCAACAGAUGGCUUCCUCGUCCAUACUCAUCACUAACAUUUACGCCAUAUCCACCAUUGGAAGCAUCUCCAUUGAAGACGUAGAAAGAUAUUGUUCAAAGAUGAAGACCCAUAGCCUGAUACUGCUCCCUGCAACAUCGUUCUCCAUGUUUUUCUCUGAAAGAGAAAGGUAAAGAGAACGAGAGAAGGAGGGUAGAGAGAAGGAGGGUAGAGAGAGGAGUGAGAAACUUUGAGUUGAGAAAGGAAGAGAGAAAAUUAGUUAGAUUUCAUAGACAGAAAAUGCCAAAAGCCAUGAGACAGAAAUUUGUAAGAGAGUAAGGAAGGCGAGUAGAGAGGAAGUCUAUGCCAUGAGAAAGAAACAAAGGCA
rnacentral:lncRNA from 1 species